AUAUAAACAGAGAGAAUUAGAAUGGGUGUAUAUAGACUGUAAUAGAGAUAGCUGAAUGCGUAUUGAUAAUUAUUAGUGAAUAAAACUACUAAAUAAAAUGAUUGACGUAAAAAAGCUCUUAAAAUAUCUCGAGUAACUUCUAACGACUAAUUUUAUUUUAUAUCAACGUGUGUGCAGUUCUAAUUCAAUUAAUCACUAGACUCCUCUCUUUUUAUUCUACUUAGAAAAUUAUUUCAUUAACGUAGAACUUCCGGUUUUAUAUUCCAAAAGUUCACUUUUCGUUAUACAUGUUUAGGUCGGGACACGGAAUAUGCAAAAUUAAAGCAGACUAUCCCUGAUGGAAAAAGUAUAACGGAUUUAUUAACCCACUGAGAUUGGAGAUGCAAAGCUAACAACACAACCAUUACGCAAAAGCAUCGAGCGAUCGUCGUGACGCCAAAGACGGUCAUUUGAUAAAGGACAUUCGUGAGAAACGGAACGAUUAUAAAACUAUAAACCAAGAACAAAGAUUUCGUGACGAAUCAGAUACAUCCAAGAUGAAGUGUCGCUUCCCCUGGGAGACCCUUCUUCUCUGCCUGACUGGUAAGACAGCUUUGAUUAAUUAAAUUAAUGAUAACGAUCAAAAAGUAAGUGGCGCGAAA